rnacentral:rRNA from 1 species
UGCGUAGGCGGCUUGAUAAGUUAGAAGUGAAAAUCCUGCUUUCAAGGUGGGAAUUGCUUUUAAUACUGUUGAGCUUGAGUGCAGAAGAGGUAAGCGGAAUUCCAAGUGUAGCGGUGAAAUGCGUAGAGAUUUGGAAGAACACCAGUGGCGAAGGCGGCUUACUGGGCUGUAACUGACGCUGAGGCGCGAAAGCGUGGGGAGCGAACA